CCUACGGGUGGCUGCAGUCGAGAAUCAUUCACAAUGGGGGAAACCCUGAUGGUGCGACGCCGCGUGGGGGAAUGAAGGUCUUCGGAUUGUAAACCCCUGUCAUGUGGGAGCAAAUUAAAAAGAUAGUACCACAAGAGGAAGAGACGGCUAACUCUGUGCCAGCAGCCGCGGUAAUACAGAGGUCUCAAGCGUUGUUCGGAAUCACUGGGCGUAAGGCGUGCGUAGGCUGUUUCGUAAGUCGUGUGUGAAAGGCGCGGGCUCAACCCGCGGAUGGCACAUGAUACUGCGAGACUAGAGUAAUGGAGGGGGAACCGGAAUUCUCGGUGUAGCAGUGAAAUGCGUAGAUAUCGAGAGGAACACUCGUGGCGAAGGCGGGUUCCUGGACAUCAACUGACGCUGAGGCACGAAGGCCAGGGGAGCGAAAGGGAUUAGAUACCCGAGUAGUC
rnacentral:rRNA from 1 species